rnacentral:rRNA from 1 species
UACGUAGGGGGCUAGCGUUAUCCGGAAUUACUGGGCGUAAAGGGUGCGUAGGUGGUUUCUUAAGUCAGAGGUGAAAGGCUACGGCUCAACCGUAGUAAGCCUUUGAAACUGGGAAACUUGAGUGCAGGAGAGGAGAGUGGAAUUCCUAGUGUAGCGGUGAAAUGCGUAGAUAUUAGGAGGAACACCAGUUGCGAAGGCGGCUCUCUGGACUGUAACUGACACUGAGGCACGAAGGCGUGGGGAGCAAACAGG